AGGUUACUGCUAUCGAGGUUCGACUAAGCCAUGCGAGUCGAAUGUAGCAAUACAUGGCGAACUGCUCAGUAGCACGUGGACAACCUGCCCUUAGGUUGGGUAUAAACCCGGGAAACUGGGUAUAAUACCCGAUAGGUCUCGAUUGCUGGAAUGCAUCGAGAUUUAAAGCUCCGGCGCCUAAGGAUGGGUCUGCGGCCUAUCAGGUAGUAGUGGGUGUAGCGUACCUACUAGCCUACGACGGGUACGGGUUGUGAGAGCAAGAGCCCGGAGAUGGAUUCUGAGACACGAAUCCAGGCCCUACGGGGUGCAGCAGGCGCGAAAACUUUACAAUGCUGGCAACAGCGAUAAGGGAACCUCGAGUGCCAGGUUACAAAUCUGGCUGUCGAGAUGCCUAAAAAGCAUUUCAUAGCAAGGGCCGGGCAAGACCGGUGCCAGCCGCCGCGGUAACACCGGCGGCUCGAGUGGUAACCGUUAUUAUUGGGUCUAAAGGGUCUGUAGCCGGCCGGAUAAGUCUCUUGAGAAAUCUGGCAGCUUAACUGUCAGGCUUUCAGGAGAUACUGUCUGGCUCGAGGCCGGGAGAGGUGAGAGGUACUUCAGGGGUAGGGGUGAAAUCUUGUAAUCCUUGAAGGACCACCAGUGGCGAAGGCGUCUCACCAGAACGGACCUGACGGCAAGGGACGAAAGCUAGGGGCACGAACCGGAUUAGAUACCCGGGUAGUCCUAGCCGUAAACGAUACUCGCUAGGUGUCGGCCACGGUGCGACCGUUGUCGGUGCCAUAGGGAAGCCGUGAAGCGAGCCACCUGGGAAGUACGGCCGCAAGGCUGAAACUUAAAGGAAUUGGCGGGGGAGCACCACAACGGGUGGAGCUUGCGGUUU
rnacentral:rRNA from 1 species